AUACGGAGGAUCCGAGCGUUAUCCGGAUUUAUUGGGUUUAAAGGGUGCGCAGGCGGGAGAUUAAGUCGGCGGUGAAAUUUUGCAGCUCAACUGUAAAAGUGCCUUCGAAACUGGUUUCCUUGAGUGUAGAUGAAGUAGGCGGAAUUUGUGGUGUAGCGGUGAAAUGCAUAGAUAUCACGAGGAACUCCGAUUGCGCAGGCAGCUUACUAAACUACUACUGACACUCAGGCACGAAGGCGUGGGGAUCAAACAGGAUUAGAUACCCUGGUAGUCCACGCAGUAAACGAUGAUUACUAGCUGUUUGCGAUACAAUGUAAGCGGCUGAGCGAAAGCGUUAAGUAAUCCACCUGGGGAGUACGUUCGCAAGAAUGAAACUCAAAGGAAUUGACGGGG
rnacentral:rRNA from 1 species